rnacentral:rRNA from 1 species
CUAGGAUUAGAUACCCUUUUAUUUGGAACUGAAUAUUGUUAGUAAACAAAAAGUGCGAAAACAAAAAAUCAUGGCGGUAUUUUUAACUUUUCAGAGGAAUUUGCUCUUUCAUGGAUAAAACACCUAAAUCUUACUAAAAUUAGCAAAAUCAGUUUGUAUACCACUAUUUAAGUAAUACUUUAUAUUUACUACUUUUAUUUUUUAAAAUCAAAAAAUAAAUUAAGUCAAGGUGCAGCUUAAAUUUUAGAGUGAAGUGAAUUACAUUUCUUUUUAGAGAAAAAAAAUGAAAUUAAUUUUAAGGAUUUGAAAGUAAAUUUUUAAUAAAAUGAUAUAUUGAAGAAAGUUCAAAAAUAUGUACACAUCGCCCGUCGCUCU